UACGGAGGGUGCGAGCGUUGUCCGGAAUCGAUUGGGCGUAAAGGGCGCGUAGGCGGCCGUCCCAAGCGUGCGGUGAAAGUCAGGGGCUCAACCCCUGAUCGGCCGUGCGAACUGGGGGCUCGAGCACUGUAGAGGCAGGACGGAAUUCCGGGUGUAGCGGUGGAAUGCGUAGAGAUCCGGAAGAACACCGGUGGCGAGGCGGUCUGCUGGGCAGUUGCUGGACACUGAGGCGCGGACAGCG
rnacentral:rRNA from 1 species